GAAAGUCUCAAUCAUAUCCCCUCACUCGGUCCAGUUUCCAAAAGCUAUCAACUUUCCAAAAACAAACCCUAUCAGUUACUAUUAUCCCUUCCAGAGCCUUCCACAGCAUCCCCCUUCAGUCAGGUUCUCUUGGUCUUCUUCUUCCCAUGGCUUCAGCGAAGAAGUUUGGUACUCCUUCCAGGCAUGCAUAGCCUUCUGCUGUAAACGGGGACGCAACUUCAAUGUAGAAAACCAUUUUGGAGGCAAUUAUCUCAGCCGAUGCAUUUCUGGCAACAACCCUCGAACCCACUUUGGCAUGCGUUUGAUUGAAUGAUGCAUCAAAGUUGAUUUUAAUCAACGAAUCAGUUGGAGGGUUCCAUUCCUCAUUUCCUCUCGAUCUGCCCAUAUGGAACAAUAGAACGUCCUAAACUGCUUGUCCGUACUUCUUCUGAAAAUCUAGGCACUUCGAACAGAAAAUUCCCCAGACAAUUCACCCUUUCAAACCAGUAAGUCAUCGUGAGCUUAUUGUGCUAAAGGAAUUCAGAGGAUCAUAGUCACAACUUCUUCUGAAAAGGCAGAGCUAGAAAGCCACACAUCACUUGGAAUGGAAAUUCUUUCCCCUAAACCAACUCUCCAACACAACCCACUUUGCAAGAGCUCUUUAGCAGCCUACAUACUCUUCCAAGUAAGCGAAGAUAUGGACAGAUGACAGUGCUUGUUGUCAUUGAAAUUUCACCGACCACCAGCAGUUUCUUUUGGAAAGUAGAUUUUUUGUUGAUUUCUUAAUUUGUUUAUGUUUUGAGAUUAUUUCAGAAUAAUAAAUGAUUUUACAAGUCGAUUUCGACCCGUGUUGUCUUAAGUUUUAUAUUUUAUAUUUUUUUUAUUAUUUAACAAGUCUUCACUUUUAGAAUUUUUUGUGUGCUCUUGUAGCAUGUUUUUUUAGUCUUGUUUAUGUAUGUAGUCUUGCUUUUGCAAGUGAUUUUAGGCUGGUUCUAUCAUUGUUCUUUUCAAUUUAGUGGAUGCUCGGUUCUUUUGUCGAUUUUUUGCCCUCCACUUUUGACCAUCCGAGGUUGAUUUUCUUAUUGUAUUAAGUGGUUGGUGUUGGUAAUGCAAAGUGGGUAAUUUCAUA